CAGCAACUCCGGAACCACGCACCCCGCAGCAGAUUCCCACAACCCUCUCUCGUGAGGUAAAAAGGAUCCACAAGAGUCUGGAGGAUGGACAAAAGUACAGAGGAAAUGAGAGGUUCACGUCUGAGCACAA